UAGCAUUCCUCAACGACAAUGGCCGACGGAGCACGCGAAUGCCACCGUCCGACGUCGUUCGAUUGAGGCGAAUAUCGCUAGCAACGGGCGUGGACGAGCAGUUAACUCGGUACCCGCACGCGUAUUCCGCACCCGAGAGCCCGAGCGAGAAUUCGUCGACCGCGACGACAACGUUUGCUAUCCGUGUCGAGCGGGACACAAAUGACGCUUCGCGGUUCACCCGAUGCCGUGCCCGGAGAAAAACGGGCCGACACUAGGCGAAAGAGGGGCAAAUCGACAACCCGAUUCCGUCAAGUAGGUAUGCAACACAAGAAACCAACGCAACCGUGCGGCCAAGGCGAGCGUCGCACUUGUACCGACAAUUGAAAAGUAUCGCGUGGCCGGACGUCCCCGCCCCGAGCAAAGAUCCGACCGAACCGUGCCAUCCAA
rnacentral:misc_RNA from 1 species